rnacentral:snRNA from 1 species
AUCGCUUCUCGGCCUUUUGGCUAAGAUCAAGUGUAAAUAUACUUGAUAUUUUUUUAUUUUUUUCCUUUUUGGGGGGUUGGUUUUGGUAUGACAGUGAAUACAAAUGCUCCUUGACUUAUGACGGGGCUGCGUCCUGAUAAACCCAUC